rnacentral:rRNA from 1 species
GAUGAACGCUGGCGGCGUGCCUAACACAUGCAAGUCGAGCGAGAAGUUUGAAAAAUGAGUUUUCGAACAAGUGAUUCAAACGGAAAGCGGCGGACGGGUGAGUAACGCGUAGGCAACCUGCCCCGUGCAGAGGGACAGCCUCGGGAAACCGGGAUUAAGACCUCAUGAUAUCGGGUUAUCACCUGGUAACCCGGUCAAAGAUUUAUCGGCAUGGGAUGGGCCUGCGUCUGAUUAGCUGGUUGGUGGGGGAACGGCCUACCAAGGCGACGAUCAGUAGCAGAACUGAGAGGUUCAUCUGCCACAUUAGAACUGAGACACGGUACAAACUCCUGCGGGAGGCAGCAGUGAGGAAUAUUGCACAAUGGGCGAAAGCCUGAUGCAGCAACGCCGCGUGAGCGAAGAAGGCCUUUGGGUCGUAAAGCUCUGUCCUUGGGGAAGAAACAAAUGACGGUACCCUUGGAGGAAGCCCCGGCUAACUACGUGCCAGCCGCCGCGGUAA